CCCGACGAUAUUCCUAUGAAUGGGAACUAAUAGAGAGCGUGGUCUCAGAUCUCACCGUCUAUUAACAAAAAUCGGCCCAGGAUACAGAGUUCAGUGCAGUAUGAAAUGCAGCUUUGAGAAGAGCUGUAAGGUUGCAGGAGACAGUAAGAAAAUACAGAGUAGCUGUUGCAGCAAAAGUCCCGGUGAAUACCUGGAUGACAACAGGCACUUUAGCCCGAUGAUGAGGGCAUCCUGUUUGGUUAAAAGGGGCAGUGACAAGGAAAUGCUUUUAUUGAAACAGAGAAACAUAAAAAACAUGCUUUCAAAACCUGUGGUUUAAAAAAGAAGAAUAGAUCUGUAGAAAGGUGGACUUAUAGUUGGGAUUUGGAACACACAUCAAGGAAAGGCCAUGUGAAGACACAGCAAGAAGGUGGUUGUCUGCAAGCCAGGAAAGGAGCUCUCACCAAAAUCUCAAUCAGCCAGCACCUUGAUCUUGGACUUGCCAGCCUCCAGAACUAUGAGAAACAAAUAUCUGUUGUUUAAGCCAUGAAACCUAUGAUUUUAUUACAGUAUCCUGAGCAGACUAAGACACCAAGGAUGUGAGAAUGAGUCAUACUGUGGUGGGUCUGCAGCAUUCCUCCGCCCCCUUCUUCAGUAGCCCAGGUACUUUGCGGAGUGCUGACUGCUCCCCAGCAAGUCCUCAGUCGCCUGAAGCCAGUGGCAGUGGGGGAAUGUGGUCCUGAUUGGUUCUGGCAGACACUCUGAGUCCUGUUGAAGAGGAUCCUUGAGAUGAAGCAGAUAUCCCAGAAAGCGGAGCAGAAAGAAGGAAACAGUCCGCACUAAAUCUGGCAACCACGGAGCCUCCUCUAUCUCUGGACUUCCGAUGACUGGGGCUAAUAAACCUACUUUGUUGUUUGUGCUGUUCCACUUUGCUCUCUUGGCCCUCAUGACAUAAAAAGAGUCCUAACUCACUGCAACAUGAAAGAAGAAAGCAGAAUGGAGUGAAAUCAAACCAGCAAAGGGUGGAAAUCAUGAGAAAAAUCUAACCAUAAAUAAAAAUAAGAAUUAGAGCGAGAGUAUCCAUGCUUUGCAAAAGUUCGUCAAAUGAUAAGAAACCCUUUUGUAAAUAGGUUUUAUGAUUUUUUUUUUGGUCAAAAAUGGAUAGUGAUUAAAAAUAUCUUGUUAACUUUUCAAAAAUAUGCAUUAAAGGAGCAAACCAAUAGCAGCUCCAAAGUGAUUUAGGUAAAUCUGUCCUUCUAGGAGUUCACAAUGAGAAGCCUAGUAACAGUCAUUAACAUACUCAGGUCGUGUCACUAAUACUGCAUUUACAAGUCUACAGUUUUCUUGUUUAUUUUAAAGUAUAUUCAGUUAAGGCAUAAAUCUUUUUUGAUUCCAUACUGAAGGUGUCUGUAAGCAAUUUUGUGAAAGAAAAGGAACUUUAAGAGACAGAGUGAAUCUAAGGUGAGUCCAGACCUUAUCCAAGUGACCAGAAAUAUUAGGGCAGUACUUUUAUUUAAAAAAUAAUCUUGACAUGUAAAAAGCAACAGAAAGGAAAAAUAUUGUAGGAUUCCACUUUUUUAAGGUAUCCAGAAUAUGUAAAUUCAUAGAGACAAAGAGUAGAGGUUAUCAGGGACUAGGGAGAAAGGAGAACGGGGAGUUACUAUUUAAUGGAUACAAGGUUUCUGUUUGGGAAGAUGAAAAAGUUCUGUUUCACAACAUUGUGAAUGUACUUAACAAGCCAUUGAAGUGUACACUGAAAAAUGGUUAAAUGGAAAAUUUCAUGGUAUGUAUAUUUUAUCACAAUAACCCUUGAUAGAACAAAAUUUG
rnacentral:lncRNA from 1 species